rnacentral:tRNA from 1 species
CCUUCGAUAGCUCAGUUGGUAGAGCGGUGGACUGUAGAAAGCUUAAGGAGAUGGUCAACUUAGAAAUGCAAGUUACAGUGCAUCUGAGGAUCACGUGCAUUCAAUAGAAAUCCAUAGGUCACUGGUUCAAAUCCGGUUCGAAGGA